UUUUUUUGGCGUUUUCUUUCUUCUUCCGUUUCU
rnacentral:sRNA from 1 species